rnacentral:rRNA from 1 species
AGGACGAACGCUGGCGGCGUGCUUGAUACAUGCAAGUCGAACGGGCCUCAUAUGAAAGCUUGCUGGAUUAUGAGGUUAGUGGCGGACGGGUGAGUAACGCGUGGGCAAUCUGCCCCCAGGUCCGGGACAACGGAGCGAAAGUUCCGCUAAAACCGGAUGACCUUGCGGAGUGGCAUCACUUUGCAAGCAAAGGUAACGCCUGGGGAUGAACCCGCGUCCCAUUAGCUAGUUGGUGAGGUAACGGCCCACCAAGGCGACGAUGGGUAGCCGGACUGAGAGGUUGGCCGGCCACACUGGGACUGAGACACGGCCCAGACUCCUACGGGAGGCAGCAGUAGGGAAUUUUCGUCAAUGGGGGAAACCCUGAACGAGCGACGCCGCGUGAGGGACGAAGGCCUUCGGGUUGUAAACCUCUGUCUUCGGGGACGAUAAUGACGGUACCCGAGGAGGAAGCCACGGCUAACUACGUGCCAGCAGCCGCGGUAAGACGUAGGUGGCGAGCGUUGUCCGGAAUUACUGGGCGUAAAGGGCGUGUAGG